rnacentral:lncRNA from 1 species
CAACUACAGAUAAACCCUAUCACAAGAGGACUGAACUAGUCUUUUAAAUUAUCAGCCUAGAAAAUUACUCAGUAAAGUAACAAAUUUUAUAACACGUCCUUGCCAUUUUUUUUGUAAAGCAGCUAUUAUCUUCUCUUAAUUAAGUUGUCACAGAUUCUAAGGUAUGUUGAUAACAGUUUUUCAGGUUGUCAUUCACGCUCCGAUCGUGCCUCGAUGGCUUUCUCAGCUGUCUGAACUGAAGAGUUUGCCUGUUUAAAAUAUUUUGGAAUCUAUCCACUUUGGCUUUUCUCUACACUUAUCGUGGCAUUGAAGAGCAGAGCUGGGCAUUUAUCCUGCUCAGCGGAGUCCUCAAUUUCAUUCCCAUCUGGAGUCACACACCAGUACUUGUGGGGCAAUUACCUUGGCGGAAGAAAGCGUUAUGGAACUGAUCCUCUGAACUUAGUGAAAAUCUACGAAAGAGAUUUGUCUGUGGCCUCGAUUGCUUGGUAUGAUGCUGUCUGCAAAUGCAUCUGAACAUCUCCAGUGAAGGUAAAAUAACCCUCUUUUUGGCAUUGUAUAAAUCCGUGUUGUGCUCU